rnacentral:rRNA from 1 species
GAUGAACGCUGCCAGCAUGCUUAACACAUGCAAGUCUUUGGUGAAGCUGUGCUUGCACCGCCUAGCCAAGGCGGACGGGUGAGUAACGCGUAAGGAACUUGCCCUGCAGUCAGGGAUAACAGACGGAAACGACUGAUAAGACCUGGUAAAGUCAGGCGGACUCAUGUCCAGCCUGAUGAAAAGAGAUGCUGCAGGAGAGCCUUGCGUCCUAUUAGCUUGUUGGUGGGGUAACGGCCCACCAAGGCAAUGAUAGGUAGCCGGCCUGAGAGGGUGGACGGCCACAAGGGGACUGAGAUACGGCCCUUACUCCUACGGGAGGCAGCAGUGGGGAAUAUUGGACAAUGGGGGCAACCCUGAUCCAGCAAUUCUGUGUGCACGAUGAAGGUUUUCGGAUUGUAAAGUGCUUUCAGCAGGGAAGAAAAAAAUGACGGUACCUGCAGAAGAAGCGACGGCUAAAUACGUG